UACGAGGGGGGCGAGCGUUGUUCGGAAUUACUGGGCGUAAAGCGUGCGUAGGUGGUUUGUUAAGUCUGAUGUGAAAGCCCUGGGCUCAACCUGGGAAUUGCAUUGGAUACUGGCAGGCUAGAGUGCGGUAGAGGGUAGUGGAAUUCCCGGUGUAGCAGUGAAAUGCGUAGAGAUCGGGAGGAACAUCCGUGGCGAAGGCGACUACCUGGACCAGCACUGACACUGAGGCACGAAAGCGUGGGGAGCAAACAGGG
rnacentral:rRNA from 1 species